GGUUUUUUGAAUAUUUAUAAUUUAAGAUUAGUUCUGCUCAAUGAUUUAAGUUAAAUAGCCGCAGUAUUUUGACUGUGCUAAGGUAGCAUAAUCAAUUGUUUUUUAAUUGAGGACUGGAAUGAAGGAAUUGAUGAAAUUAAGACUGUCUAUUGUUAAAUCAUUAAAAUUUAAAUUUUAAGUAAUAAUUCUUAAAUAAAAUUAUGGGACGAGAAGACCCUAUAGAAUUUGAUAUAAUUUUUUAAAAAAUAUAAGUAAAAAUUUAAUAAAAUUAAUAUUUUAUUGGGAGGAUAAUUAAAUUAAAUUAACUUUAAGAUUAAAAUUGAAACAUUAAUUUAUGAAAAAUUUGAAUAAUUUUUUUAAUAAUAAUAAAUAAAAUUAAUAAAAAAUUAAUUACCUUAGGGAUAACAGCGUAAUAUUUUUAAAAAGAUCAUAUUGAUAAAAAUGAUUGCGACCUCGAUGUUGAAUUAAAAUAAAAGUUAAAUGAAGAAGUUUAAUAUUUUAGUCUGUUCGACUAUUAAAAUUUUA
rnacentral:rRNA from 1 species